CUGCCGAUGAGGCUUUAAUGGCUGCAGUAUUUUGACUGUACUAAGGUAGCAUAAUCAUUAGUUUUUUAAUUGAAAGCUGGAAUGAAGGGUUGGAUGAGAAAUAAACUGUCUCUAAUUAAUUUUAUUAGAAUUUUAUUUUUAAGUUAAAAAGCUUAAAUAAUUUUAAAAGACGAGAAGACCCUAUAGAAUUUAAUAUAUUUAAUUUAUUUAUAUUUAGGAUUAAUUUUUUAUAAUUAUAAUGUAUUUAAUUGGGGUGAUUAAAAAAUUAAGUAAACUUUUUUUAUAACUUUAUAUUAAUUAAUAAGUUAAUGAUCCAAGAAUUUUGAUUAUAAGAUAAAUUACCUUAGGGAUAACAGCGUAAUUUUAUUAGAGAGUUCUAAUCGAAAAUAAAGUUUGCGACCUCGAUGUUGGAUUAAAA
rnacentral:rRNA from 1 species